AUCUUCUGUUUUUGCAGCUUCAGAGGGCACCCGCGAGAGUCUUCUGCUUCACCUGAGCGUGAGUCUUCAGCGCACAAGGGAGACCUGCAACCCGAGGAAGCCAUCACCCGCCGAGAGAGCCUUUCAACCGCAGCGCACAAGAGAGGGAGACGGCAGGAGGUGGGUGCGGCGUUGGGGAUCUCCAGCCUCCUGCGGAGGUUCACACAAGGGUAAGGGAAGAAAUCAUCAUAGGAGAUGCUAAGGAGGUGCAAGGGUCACAAGCUUGCCAAUGUGGAGAAUUGUUGGAGUGUCAAGCUUAGAGAAAGGAAAACAAAGGAAUAUGAGCUGUCCAUUUUAUGAAAAUCCAACAGCUGCUGUUUCACUUUUACUAUGGGGCAUGGAUGUAAUUUUGCCUUUUAAUGAUUGUAAAUAGAAAAGAAAAUAGAGGGGCGGGGAUUUUUUUUCCAUCUUCUGUUUUUGCAGCUUCAGAGGGCAGCCGCAAGAGUCUUCUACUUCGCCCGAGCGUGAGAGUCUUCAGCGCAUGAGGGAGACCUGCAACCCGAGGAAGCCAUCACCCGCCGAGAGAGCCUUUCAACCGCAGCACACGAGAGAGGGAGACGGCAGGAGGUGGGUGUAGUAACCGAGAAAAAAAAUUUUUAAUUAAAAGAAAAUAUAUGUUAAUUAAAAAUAAAUAAAUAAAAUAUAAUAAAAUAAAUUUAAUUAAUUAAA